rnacentral:lncRNA from 1 species
CAGUUUCCUCAUCUGGAAAAUGGGAACAUAUGUCCUCUCCGGCAGAGCUACUGUGAAGCUCCAGCGCAGUAUUGGAUAAGGAGAUGCUUUGUAAUUGUGACAUGAAUUUCGAAGGUGAGGGGCGAUCGUGUUGAUGAUUUUUGAUCUGGAUGUGGUUUAUAACUCCUCAAGCUCUGGUACCUGCAGCCAGUGGACUGGGAGAUCAUGGUGAGGCCAAGGGGAGGUUGUGGAGGGGACAGAUAUGGGUUCAAAUCCCAGCUCUGCCCCUUAUGGGCCACAUGACCCUCAACUAAUCCCACCAUCUCUCUGAACCUCAGUUCUCCCAUUUGUAAAACAGACACGACACAGGGUGCUUGUAUCCAUAAGCAAGAAGGACUGUGAAACACUUGGCACCAAGUAGAUGAUAAAUAAAUGGUCCUUUGACUGUGGAGCUGGAGUGGGGGAGUUCCUGAUUGAAGUGGAGUGAGGAAGUCUGCAAAAUUGCAUGUCAGUUCAGCUCUGGAUCCAGACUGCCUGGGUUAAGACCCCGGCUCUACCACUUUCCAGCCGUGUGACCCUGGGCAAGGCAGUUAACCCUCUCUGUGCCUCAGUUUGCUCCUCUGUCAAGUGGGUGUAAUAACGGUGCCUGCAUCCUGAGAUGGAUGAGCAUUAAAUGAGUUAAUACGUAGUGCCUGCUACUGAAUGUACCUGUGUUUGCUGCUAUUGUCAUUCUUACUGGUGUGAUUAUUAUCACUGAAGGCCCCGUGAGGUUCUUAGUCUUUGGAGCACAAGGAAAGGAGUGACUUAGGAUCCCUGCUUCCCAGCAAGUGUUUUUCCUCUUCUGCUGUAGCUGGAGGGUUGUGUGUUAAUGGAUUACUGUUUACAGGAGUUUCUGUCCCCAGGGCAAGCCUUGACCAUGCACUCAGCCCUAUUCCAGCCUUGAAGAGGUCUUGGAUGUUCUGUGUUUAAGGAAGACUCAUACUGCCCGGUGGUGGAAGCAAUCAACAGGUUUCAUGGGGCCCGUGGUUAUGAGUAUUGGCCACCCAAGCUAGGUGCAAGGUUAGACAUGGCGCUUACUCUUUCAUUCAUUGAAAAUUUAGCCUAUGCCAGUCAUCUGGCAAGUCCUGUGCUGGCUGUAUGGAAAAUAGGAUCUGCUGGAUGUCAGGGAUGGAUUUCUCCAGGAAAGUCAGGGGUGGCACUGGCAUGGGAUUCGUGUGUGAACCUGGGUAAGUUGCCUCACCUCUUCAAGCUUUUCCCCAUUUGUGAAGUUAGUCUCAGAUGGGCCAGGUGUCAUCGAAGGUGAGAGAGGUGACAGCCUUUGGCCUGCAUGUACCUGGUGGUCUCUGCCCUGGCUCUUGUGCCUUUAGAGAUGACUGAGUCUCCCAUGCCUCCACCUUCUGAGACCUGGCUUUUGGGGACACUCAAUGUUCUUUUGAGUAAAACGAAAAUAACUAGAACGCAUUCAUUCUGUCUCAGGCAUUGUGCUCAUCAUUGUUUUAUUUGAUUUUCAUGUCCCCAUAUUAUAGAUGGGAAAACUGAGGCUCAGAGUGGGAAUCCCUUGCCCAGGACCCCCACUGCUGAUCCUUGUAGCCUGACUCAGCCCUGUGCCCCAAAUCCCUCCCCUGCUGCCUCCUUGGGAUUAAAGUGGGACCAGGCUGGUCAGUCCUAGUGUUCUGUCCCAUUUCCACUGUGUCAUUGCUGUGUGAUUUAGGGCCAGUGACUUUGCCUCUCUGAGCCUCAGUCCUCAUCUACAGAAAGAAGACACUAAGAUUUUCCCUGUGGGGUCGGUGUGGGGUCAGGUGAGGUGGCAGCAUAGAAAGCCUCUGGCACAUAGUAGGCUCUUUAAAAACCAGAGCCCUUUCCCAUUAAAAAAAAAUCAGUUUAGAGUUUUUAAAAAGUGGGUAAUGAGUGGCUUUAUAAAUGGUGAUACAAAUCUUCCUUGUUGUUGGUAGCAGGAAUAGUCACUCAUUGUAGCAGGAAUUCAAAAUAAUCAUUAGCAUUGAUGGACUGUUUCUGAUACUCUAGUUCCUCCGACACAUGGGUUUGUGCAUGAUUUUAUCCAGUUCCUUAUCCGUGCUAGUGUUGUUCUCAUUUUACAGAUGAGGAGACUGAGGCUCUGUGAGGUGAGCUGCCUUGCCCAGAGCUACUGGCAAGUGGCAGGCAGGGAGCCUGGGAGCCCUUUUGUGGGUGAAUCUCAUUGGCGGAGACUCAGCUGUAAUUUCAAAGGCUCCAGGUCAGGGCUGGGGCUCCCAGCUGGCUCUGUUGAUUUUUCUUUCCUUUCUGUUUUGCUUCCUUAGUGACAAAAGCCCUUUCUGGGGGCUGUCCUGUUUGCCUGUGGCACGGCAUGGUGAGGCACUGCCAGGGGAAGGAAGUGCGGGAUGUGCGGGGCCUCACGGCAGAGGGAGGCCAGCGGGGGGCAGGGGGGUGCUGGGUACACCGAGGCCACUCUGUGAACUCCCGCCACCCUGCCUCCCUGGACACGGAGCCUGGGCCUUGGUGGGCACAGUGCCUGCCCAGCCCUACCCGGUGCCCUGGGCUGGGUCAGGGAGUGACGUGGCUGGGGAACUCCCAGGGCCCUCUGGCCUGGGAACCUGCCCAGGUUUGUCUCUCCCUUUCAUUUUAGGCCCCAGCCCUGGAAAGCUUAUAUCUGUGCUUCUAGAACAGAUUACCUGCCUGCCAGGGACUGUGCUUGGCACGAGAUGGGGUCCUUGGCUGUGGCAGAGAACACUAGUACCCUCUUCUCUGCUAUGUGUCCUUGGAUAAAACCCUUCUCCUCUCUGGGCCUUUCUCACAGGGGGCCAGGAAACUGGAUGAGCAGGUCCUAGAGCCUCUUAUUCUUGCUGCACCUUCUGAGAAAAAGCAAAAACAGCCCUUUAAAAGAGCUGGGGCGGGGGCGGGGCACUAUUUGUUGAGGACCUACUGUAUGCCAGCUCCCUUGCUAGGGAGGUAUUAUAUCUGUGUCUUCCUGUCAGUCCUCAGAAUGGCUUGGAGAUGGUAUUACUAACCCCUUUCACAGAUGAGAAAACAGCCUCAGAGAUAUAAAGCCCUCAGAGCCACUUAGCUUGAGGUCUGGAUUUGAACUCAGAUCUGCCUCCUGGAAAGCUGCCACAGCCUACAGUUAAUAACACAGUGGUCCUCCCGCCUCCCACUGACCCCGCUGGAAAUACCAUCUCUCUCCUCAGAACUUCCAGGGAAGUGUAUGCUGUCCUCUCCUGGGAUAGUGUGUCAUUUUCCUUUGUUAUUUAGUAAGUACCUACUGUGUACCAGGGCUUGGGCUGGGUCCUGGGUCUCAGAGCUGCCUGGGACACAGCUCCCACCCUCCCAGAGGAGAGAGAUGAGGGGUUGGAGGGCAGCCUGCCCAGGGCUGUGUCGGGGGGCAUGGCCACGGUGGCACUGGGGUAGGGACCAUAUUCUCCAGGUCCCACCUCCUGGCAGCCUUGUAGCAAAGCCGUUUCCCUUGACACACUCAACUCUGGAUGCACAGAAGCGUUGGUACCUAGCAGAUCGCCUCUUUCUCCCAGGGGUGAGGGGUGCCUGGUUACUGUCGGAUUUAAGAGGUGAUAGUACGUACCAAUGUUGUCUUUAUCCAGAUGCCUUCAUCACAGCUCCUCUGCCUGCCUUCCUUUCCUUCAUUGAAAUGGGGGGUGGUGGUGGAGGGGGCCAGCAAAAACUCUGGAGGAAUUUUUGGAAUGCCCAGAAUGCUGGCUGACCCAGCAGAGCAAGUGUGAGCCAUCUGCCCUGGCUUUAGUCGGCUCAGCCGGGCGACCGCAGGGCUUUCUGGGUGUCACCCAGUUCCUGUGCCCAGGCCCAGGUCACUCCCAGGAAGGUGGCUCUUCCAUGGAUCACAGCAGCAACCCACCCUGAUGACACUGCCUGGGUUGGGAGCCUUGCUGCCCUCGGGUCAUCUGCUUCUGUUUUGUCCCCAGCCCUGGGCAUGGCUUCCCUUCUCUGCCUGGGUGUCCACACCCUUGCAGUGGGGGUGCUGGUGCCUUUUAGCCUGGAGUGCUCCCAGCCAGGUCACGUGGGUGAACACUGGGGUGAAUGACCCAUCAAUGUUUGUGCUGGUCUAUUGGAGCGGGUGGUGAUGUUAGGUAAAGCCCCCACUGUGCACAUGCGUCUCUGGGGUACCAUGGGCUUCCCAUCCCUUUACUGUCUGCACUUGACUGGCCCUUCUGCCUUAAGGUGGGGGCAGGAGAUAACUAACUGUUCACAGCUUUAAUGGGUGACUCUCAGCUCAUUUUCCAAAUAAAUAGAUUUUAUUCUCUUUUUAUACUUACUUCAAUAUAUUUACGUCAUGCUACAGUUUCAUUGUCAAACAUUUAGAAAUACAGAUAAACAAAAACGGGGAAGUAAAACUCCUGUAAUCCCACAGAGUAAAGAUAACCCGGGCUAAUAUUUUGUGAUGUGAGUCUUAGACCUAUGCAUGUGUACAUGUGGUUGAGAGAUGUGGGCACCGCGUUCCGGAGUUUAGAAUGUGGGCUUUAUUUUCAGGUGGCCUGGAUUCCAGUCCUGGCUCUGGAACCUCUUAACUGUGUGACCUCGGGCAGGUCUCUUUCCCUCUCUGAGCCUCAAUCUCUCCUCUGUGAAAUAAGGCUGCUGUGAAGACUAAAGGAGUUGAUGACUGUGAAGUGCUGAGGUGCCUGGGCUAUAUAGCAAAUGCUUCAUUUUUACGAGCUCUUGUCUUACACAUAUGCAUGUUUUUCCUUUUUCUUUUUCUUUUUUUUUUUUUUUUUUUCAGGGCCGUACCUGUGGCAUUUGGAGGUUCCCAGGCUAGGGGUCUAAUCAGAGCUACAGCUGCCAGCCUAUACCUCACCCACAGCAAUGCAGGUUCCCAGGUUAGGGGUCAAGCUGUAGCUGUAGCUACUAGCCUACGCCACAGCCACAGCAACUCCAGAUCCAAGCCGCGUCUGUGACCUACACCACAGCUCUUGGCAAGGCCGGAUCCUUAACCCACUGAAGGAGGCGAGGGAGCAAACCCUCAACCUCAUGGAUACUAGUUGGAUUAGUUUCCACUGAACCACGGCAGGAACUCCUGCAUGUGUUUUCUUGUUUGGAGCACCAAGCCCCUUUCUAGCAGUGCUGGAAUCCACAAGUGGUGGUGGGUUUGGAUUUUAGGCUGGGGGGCUGCCCUGACCACCUCCUCCAGGCAGGAUUCAUGGCAGGGACUGCCAGGAACAGGGGUUGGGCAGCUGGUUUGGCCCACAUCAAGCACCCGGGCAUGUUCACAAGCCGGCCCUGAUCUUUAUCGCUCAGGGAUGCUUCCUGUCCUCACUGAGGCCCGGGCGUCCAUCCAGAUGAAAGCCGCUGGCCGGUCCCAGCGGGCUGAAGGUGGCCCCUGUGAACAAGCGCAUCGAGAGUCCUCUUCCUCCUCCCUUGGCAGCAGUAGCGUCAGAAGGAUGGGCUCAGCCACCCCUGGGGAGAGGGACACAGGCAGCCGGCCACCUCUACACAGGCCUGUAACUAGGAAGGCACCUGACACCAGUGGGGACCCAGAGGGCCAGAGUGAGGGAAGGAGUGUGGGGAGCCAUCAGGCAGGGCAGUUAACGGAGCCUGGUUUU